AGACAGAAAAGCGAGUGCCUUUUAGAACGGCGCAGCCUGAGCCCGGAUUUCUCUAAUGUCUACGUGCUGUUAUUUUAGGUCUCCGAAUUCAAUCCUUUGACGUUCACCAGCGUGAUCGAAUGCGAGAAGCCAAACAACGACCUGAGUAGGUUUCGCGGCUGCAUGGCGGUGCCUGGCAGUGGAGGCACAGCAGGGACAGAUACGAAGGCCUGCAGCCUGCUGGAUCCACAGAGCC
rnacentral:lncRNA from 1 species